rnacentral:rRNA from 1 species
GACGAACGCUGGCGGCGUGCCUAACACAUGCAAGUCGAGCGGAGAUAUUAGCAAUAAUAUUUUAGCGGCGGACGGGUGAGUAACGCGUGGGCAACCUGCCUUUCACUGGGGGAUAACACAGAGGAAUUUGUGCUAAUACCGCAUAACAUCACGAGAUGACAUCAUCUUGUGAUCAAAGGAGUAAUCCGGUGAUUGAUGGGCCCGCGUCCGAUUAGCUAGUUGGUGGUGUAACGGACCACCAAGGCGACGAUCGGUAGCCGAACUGAGAGGUUGAGCGGCCACAGUGGGACUGCGACACGGCCCAGACUCCUACGGGAGGCAGCAGUGGGGAAUAUUGCGCAAUGGGGGAAACCCUGACGCAGCAACGCCGCGUGAAGGAUGAAGGUUUUCGGAUUGUAAGCUUCUUUGAUUGGGGACGAAAUAAAUGACGGUACCCAAAAAACAAGCCACGGCUAACUACGUGCCAGCCGCCGCCGUAA